AGCAGAGGCGAGUCAUGGGUUUGCUGUUGAUGGUAAUGAGCUGUGUGACCUCUUAUUCUGUGAUGGUCCUGAUCACAACUCAAGGGGUGUGUGGUCAGCAGUGGAGUGUCUCUUACCAACCUGAGAGUAUCUGUGCUUUUGUGGGGGAUUCAGUGGACAUGUCCUGCUCUUACACCUACCCCAGUGGGCUGAGUAUUAAGCAAGCUUACUGGACAAACAAAUACUAUGGGGAUUAUCCUGAUCUCCGUUAUGACGUAAACUAUAAAUCCAGGAUCCAUGUUAAUUGCAGCAGAGCUGGG